UGGUGGAGUGAUUUGUCUGGUUAAUUCCGUUAAAGAACGAGACCUCAGCCUACUAUUGUAGUUACUGUGUAUUCUGAUAUGCAUAACUUCUUAGAGGGACUGUCAGUUUUCAGCUGACGGAAGUUUGAGGCAAUAACA
rnacentral:rRNA from 1 species